CCUACGGGGGGCUGCAGUAGGGAAUCUUCCGCAAUGGACGCAAGUCUGACGGAGCAAUGCCGCGUGAAUGAAGAAGGUCUUCGGAUUGUAAAGUUCUGUUAUCAGAGAAGAACAACUCAUAGAGUAACUGUUAUGAGUUUGACGGUAUCUGACUAGAAAGCCACGGCUAACUAAGUGCCAGCAGCCGCGGUAAUACUUAGGUGGCAAGCGUUGUCCGGAUUUAUUGGGCGUAAAGGGAGCGCAGGCGGUGUAUAAAGUCUGAUGUGAAAGUCCAC
rnacentral:rRNA from 1 species